AGACCCGCGCAACCAGGCGGGGAGGGGAGGUGGGCGCGCGAUUGGGUUGCGAUCUGGAGCAGUGGGGACAGGUCAGGUAAUUCUGCCGGCGGUCAGGGAUGGGAGAGUGGGGAGGACGGGACCAGCCUAGCUCAGAAUGGGUGUUUCUUGGAGCCUCUGGGACUGUUUUCUUUCCAGGAACCGGCGCGUAUUUCUGCAGUGAGACCACAGGACGGACAUCGGCGCCUUCGGCUUCGAUGGAGUUGCGAUUUUGCUCUUUCCAGGGAAACAGUGGCAGGGUGUUUGCUGCUUAUCGGUUCCUGCGGAUAUGCCUGGGUCCCAGGACAUUCCACUGGAGGCUUGGACUGCAUUUAGGAGCCCCUAUCCCUUCCCUGUCCACACUGUUAGUGAGCAAUUUCAUAUGUUUGCAUUUAGACCCAUAGACUCAGAACGACUCAUCACACACACACACAGUGUACACUGACACACUCACAUUCGCACACUUAGGUAUACAGCCUGAUCCUUGCUCUGACCUGGUAACAACGCUUCCUCCUCCAGAGACUUUGAGAUAGAGCGAGCGAUCCCUGUGCACCAUUCAUCCAUGCUCCCACCUCGCCAGUAUGGCUGGCUUAGUUCUGGAAGGGGCUUAAGAGGAACAAGCCCCAGCUGUGCUUCUGGCUGGGACUUAAACCCCCCUUCUGGGCCCUAAAGCCACGCUUCUUUGUGGACCGGACCUGACUCUCCAGGAAUCUGGGAACCCGCUAUUUCACUCUAUUUUGGGACAAGAAAAAGGGGCUCUUUGGGGCCACUUCCUGCCUUCCCCUCAAGUAGGAUCUCCAGCCUGCAGAGGGUGCCUAGUCCUUCUUUGCCCAAGAACCAGUCCAAGAAGCCUUUCCUCUGUGCCUGGGAAAUGCAACCUUUUCUUGGGAGCAUGGUAGGGUGUUGGUGCUGAAGAACCAAGCAGCGACCCGUCUUGUAGCUGCCAUGUUUUGUCGAGGGGUUCUGGGGGUCCUGCUGCUUUAGAGCCACAUACUUCCACUUCCUGAUUCACUACUGUGAGCUGGUCAGAUGCCUAGAAGAGGAACAAGCGUUCAAAGUGAAAGUGGGCACAUUACCGGAAUAGUGCUGGGGAGAGUGCUGGAUUCUUUUCCACCCCAGGCGGACUGCCCCGAACCCUGCGCGCAGAGAAAGGGUCUCAGCUCCACAGACGACUGGGUCCCUCCUCACCAAAAAUGGUGAGACAAGAUUUCAU
rnacentral:lncRNA from 1 species